GAUGAACGCUAGCGGCAGGCCUAAUACAUGCAAGUCGGACGGGAUUGAGAAGCUUGCUUCUCAUGAGAGUGGCGCACGGGUGCGUAACACGUAUGUAACCUACCUUCAUCAGGGGGAUAGCCUCUCGAAAGAGAGAUUAACACCGCAUAAAAUCACGAUAUGGCAUCAUAAUGUGAUCAAAUAUUUAUAGGAUAAAGAUGGGCAUGCGGGACAUUAGCUAGUUGGCGGGGUAACGGCCCACCAAGGCGACGAUGUCUAGGGGAUCUGAGAGGAUGACCCCCCACACUGGUACUGAGACACGGACCAGACUCCGACGGGAGGCAGCAGUAAGGAAUAUUGGUCAAUGGACGCAAGUCUGAACCAGCCAUGCCGCGUACAGGAAGACGGCCCUACGGGUUGUAAACUGCUUUUGUACCGGAAUAAACCCUUUUACGUGUAAGAGGCUGAAUGUACGGUAAGAAUAAGGAUCGGCUAACUCCGUGCCAGCCGCCGCCAGUAAUAC
rnacentral:rRNA from 1 species